CGGGUCUGCGUGGGGCGGCCUCGCCUCACGGCCUUCCCGUGCUACCCCCGUGCCCGGGAGAUGCCCGCACGUCUCCCCGGGCCCGCCUGAUGCCCAAGAGACGACCCCCGGCCCGCCCCGCCUCUCGCUGAGGCAGUACCCCGGCCGAGCCGCCAGAUGUCAGCACGAGGCUUUGUGCCUCGCUCCGCUCUCAGUGACUGCUCCAGUCGCCAAAUAGCACGAAGCUUUCCCGUACAAUCCCAGGCCCUGCUUCAGCCCAUCCGCCUCUCCCGCUCAGAAGACUUUUUUGGAAGUAUAUGAUGAGCAACCAUUGAGAUUGGAUGGAAAGCAUCAGCAGCACCAGGAAACUCUUGGCAUAUGGAUAGUCUGAAUUGCUUCUGCAUGGGAUCCAGUGUGGGGAAUGCUCUGAAUCACUGUAACAGAGGUAUAAACACGGGACUUACAGGAAUAUGCCUGUAUUCAGAUAACAGAUCUGAAUGGUUUUGUUCCUAGUGCGGCCAGGGGAAAACUCCUACUGGUUUCUGCAUUGCUCUGCUUUGCAUUGUGUAAAUUAGGUAAUGGACAGAUAAAUAAUCGGUUUUCUAAGUGUUAUUUUGAACUGUUCUUUUGAGGCUGGAACCUGCCAAGCCUUCCCACAUCAUGCUGUAGCAUAAAGGGCUCUUAAUGCUCCCAUCGUCGUUAAUUACAUUAGUAAUUAAGGACGAAUGGAGCUGCAGGCUCUGCUGUUUUGGGCCCUGCACAAACAAAGCAGUAAUGUAAGUGGCAGUCCCUGUCUUGGAGAGCUUCAGACUAAAUGACAAAGAUGGGUGGAAAAAAUCUACCAGAAAUAUCUGGAAUGCAGUUUACUUUUUCUCUUGAGCCCCAUCCACGUGAAUCUUAAUGAUUUAUUCACGGGUUUUGAUAUUGUUGAUUCUGAUGUGCCAUCCUAAUACAGAACUUGCAUUUCUGGCCUGUACCUUUCAAUAACCAGUUAUGUGUUUUUUGUCUUUCAGCGGGGACAGGUUUCCCUGCCCGUGCUGGUGUAACAGGUUUGCCUUGUUCCCCUCCCAGGUCUUUGUGCAAAAGGAAAUUCCACUGCAAAUUUGCCUCAGAUGAUAGCAGUGCUGCUUUGUGCUUGGACUCUGUGCAGUCUUUUUGUUCAGCUGUUCAUGGAUUAAGGUCUCAAAGAGUUGUGAUGCAAUUAUGUUCUCUGGUUUUAUAACGUGUUCUGGGUGAACACAAGGCUAGGGAAGGACAGCAGCCCCUGGUAUCCUUCUGCUGAGAGCCUGUGGAGGUAGAAGCCCUUGGGAUGAUGUGGUUGUGCUUUAGGCAGGAUGGCAUGCUCAGAUAUUCAAAUACAUUGGCAACAGCAGGAAGAAGUACUCCGUGAAAUGAGUUGAACAGCCUCUCUUAGUUGUGAUGUAGUCCUUUAAAGAUAUCAGUGCUUAGUGGUGAACAAAAGCAAUGCCUGCUCUGUGUCUCACAUCAAGGGUAGCAGCAUUCCACUCUUAAGCCCAAACCAGUGGGGAUAAAAUGAGAUGCAGUUGCAUUAUUAGCAUCAUGCCCAGCCUCACUGUUCUGAAUGUUGGAAUCACUUCAGUUAUCCUUUUGUUUUUUCCUCAUGCAGGUUGAUAUCCAGAUGCCAUCCAGUGAAAGGGGAAGUGCAUGAAUCCAGGGGAGGCAAUGCAUGCAGCAGCUGCGCAGCUAUCAGAUCCCAGCCCUCUGCGAGCAGAAUCUGUCCUCCUCAGGGGAGUAAAUUUGCUCCCCCCACGUAAGUCUUUCAUGAACAGAUGCAGCAAUAAACACAAAACAGGAAUCUGAAGGUCUUUUCACGUUUCUUGUAGCUGAAAAGCAGAAGUACCAAAUCACAUUAGGUGACGCAGCUCAAAUAAACGCUGUUGCAAAGGAAGAAGAGCACAAAAUCAAUCUUAUUUCUCCAGCCGGGAAA
rnacentral:lncRNA from 1 species